rnacentral:rRNA from 1 species
GCAACACCCGAAGUCGGUGAGGUAACCCGCAAGGGAGCCAGCCGCCGAAGGUGGGGCAAGUGAUUGGGGUGAAGUCGUAACAAGGUAGCCGUACCGGAAGGUGCGGCUGGAUCACCUCCUUUCUAAGGGGA